rnacentral:rRNA from 1 species
AGAGUUUGAUCAUGGCUCAGGACGAACGCUGGCGGCGUGCUUAACACAUGCAAGUGGAGCGACGAACCAGGGCUUGCCCUGGGGCAAAGCCGCGAACGGGUGAGUAACACGUGGGUAACCUGCCUCGAUGAUCGGGACAACCCGGGGAAACCCGAGCUAAUACCGAAUGUGCCCCAUCCGCAUCAGUGGAUGGUGUAAAGGAAGCUUCGGCCUCCGCAUUGAGAUGGGCCCGCGGCCCAUUAGCUUGUUGGUGGGGUAAAGGCCUACCAAGGCUCCGAUGGGUAGCUGGUCUGAGAGGACGAUCAGCCACACUGGGACUGAGACACGGCCCAGACUCCUACGGGAGGCAGCAGUGGGGAAUCUUGCGCAAUGCGCGAAAGCGUGACGCAGCAACGCCGCGUGGGGGAAGACGGCCUUAGGGUUGUAAACCCCUUUCAGGAGGGACGAAGGUCGGCGCGUUAAUAGCGGGUCCGACUGACGGUACCUCCACAAGAAGCCCCGGCUAACUACGUGCCAGCAGCGGCGGUAAUUC